GCCGUCGUAGCUCAGCGGCAGAGCGCCCGCCUGUUAAGCGGGGGAGCGGGGGUUCGAGUCCUCCCGAUGGCG
rnacentral:tRNA from 1 species